AGUGAACGCUGGCGGUAGGCCUAACACAUGCAAGUCGAACGGCAGCACAGUAAGAGCUUGCUCUUACGGGUGGCGAGUGGCGGACGGGUGAGGAAUACAUCGGAAUCUACUUUUUCGUGGGGGAUAACGUAGGGAAACUUACGCUAAUACCGCAUACGACCUACGGGUGAAAGCAGGGGAUCUUCGGACCUUGCGCGAUUGAAUGAGCCGAUGUCGGAUUAGCUAGUUGGCGGGGUAAAGGCCCACCAAGGCGACGAUCCGUAGCUGGUCUGAGAGGAUGAUCAGCCACAAUGGAAAUGAGAACCGGUCCCGAAUCCUACGGGAGGCAGCAGUGGGGAAUAUUUGACAAUGGGGGGAAGCCCGGUCCAGCCAUACCGGGUGGGGUAAGAAGGCCUUCGGGUUGUAAAGCCCUUUUGUUGGGAAAGAAAAGCAGCAGGUUAAUACCCCGCUGUUCUGACGGUACCCAAAGAAUAAGCACCGGCUAACUUCGUG
rnacentral:rRNA from 1 species